GGACACUCUUAGCCCCACCCCAACAUGAGCAGAGAGCACCAAAGCAGCAGAGUGGGUCAGUUGGGCUCAGGGUGAACAACACAGCCUACGCUUAAAGGUACUAGUUGUUUAUCAGUGACCAAAGCCAAGACUCAAGGAACUAAUUGCUCAAGCCAACAACCAAGCUGAAGAACAGUCAUGGAAAUGAUUUCUUCUGGCCUCAGGUGGUAAUGUUAUUUAAGGCAGCUGUGGUAUUCCCCUGCUGUUCAGAAGAUGGUUAACGGAGCUGCAUGAGAAAACACAGAGAGACUAAGACACAGCAAGAGGCAGAAAGCAUUACACUUUUCUGGGGCCAUCAUUGAGCUGGCACUGC
rnacentral:lncRNA from 1 species